CUGAAACUAAAAAUAUCGCCCGUCUUCAGGUGAAGCCCAUGUGAUUUUGAGAUUGCGAACCUCACCAAAGAAUUUCCUGCUCUGAAGUGAAGAAACUGCAUUUAGGGCCCUGAAAAUUCAACUGUAGUGAUCCUGAGAGAAUGAAAUGACAGCACCUACCAGGUUCACUUUUCUGGAAUGUAGAAACUUUGAAAUGCAUCAGAGAGAAAAAGGUGAAUUCCUUUACAAAAGAAAAAAAGUUCAAAUUCAACUUUCUUUUCAAAUGAUCUAACAUAAACAGCACUGCUGGAGUCUACACCUCAACUUCUGAAGCUAAUUUCCAUGCUUAGACCCAUCCCUGAUCUAGUCUACAAAUGCUAAAAAUAAAUAAAAUAUGAAAGAAGCAACUCUAAUG